rnacentral:rRNA from 1 species
UACGAAGGGGGGCUAGCGUUGCUCGGAAUCACUGGGCGUAAAGGGUGCGUAGGCGGGUUUUUAAGUCAGGGGUGAAAUCCUGGAGCUCAACUCCAGAACUGCCUUUGAUACUGAAGAUCUUGAGUCCGGGAGAGGUGAGUGGAACUGCGAGUGUAGAGGUGAAAUUCGUAGAUAUUAGGAAGAACACCAGUGGCGAAGGCGCUUUCUGGCUCGUAACUGACGCUGAGGAGCGAAAGCGUGGGGAGCAAACAGG